CUUCUCUUGAGAGCGGCGGACGGGUGAGUAAUGCCUAGGAAUCUGCCUGGUAGUGGGGGAUAACGUUCGGAAACGGACGCUAAUACCGCAUACGUCCUACGGGAGAAAGCAGGGGACCUUCGGGCCUUGCGCUAUCAGAUGAGCCUAGGUCGGAUUAGCUAGUUGGUGAGGUAAUGGCUCACCAAGGCGACGAUCCGUAACUGGUCUGAGAGGAUGAUCAGUCACACUGGAACUGAGACACGGUCCAGACUCCUACGGGAGGCAGCAGUGGGGAAUAUUGGACAAUGGGCGAAAGCCUGAUCCAGCCAUGCCGCGUGUGUGAAGAAGGUCUUCGGAUUGUAAAGCACUUUAAGUUGGGAGGAAGGGUUGUAGAUUAAUACUCUGCAAUUUUGACGUUACCGACAGAAUAAGCACCGGCUAACUCUGUGCCAGCAGCCGCGGUAAUACAGAGGGUGCAAGCGUUAAUCGGAAUUACUGGGCGUAAAGCGCGCGUAGGUGGUUUGUUAAGUUGGAUGUGAAAUCCCCGGGCUCAACCUGGGAACUGCAUUC
rnacentral:rRNA from 1 species